AUUAUGGCUCAGAACGAACGGCUGGCGGCAUGGAUUAGGCAUGCAAGUCGAACGAAGCAGCAAUGCUUAGUGGCGCAAGGGUGAGGAACACGUGAGUGACCUACCCGCAAGUUUGGAACAGCUCCUGGAAACGGGAAUUAAUACCGGAUGUGAUCAUGAAGCUGCAUGGUUUCAUGAUUAAGCAGCAAUGCGCUUGCGGAUGGGCUCGCGUCCCAUUAGCUAGUUGGUGAGGUAACGGCCCACCAAGGCCAUGAUGGGUAGCUGGUCUGAGAGGACGACCAGCCACACUGGGACUGAGAACUGCCCAGACUCCUACGGGAGGCUGCAGUCGAGAAUUUUGGGCAAUGGACGAAAGUCUGACCCAGCAAUGCCGCGUGCGGGAUGAAGGUCUUCGGAUUGUAAACCGCUGUUUGGAGGGACGAAAAUUGACGGUACUUCCAGAGGAAGCCACGGCUAACUACGUGCCAGCAGCGGC
rnacentral:rRNA from 1 species